rnacentral:rRNA from 1 species
GCUUUAGGGCUAGCCUCAAGUGAUGAUUAGUGGAGGUAGAGCACUGUUUGGACGAGGGGCCCCUCUCGGGUUACCGAAUUCAGACAAACUCCGAAUGCCAAUUAAUUUAACUUGGGAGUCAGAACAUGGGUGAUAAGGUCCGUGUUCGAAAGGGAAACAGCCCAGACCACCAGCUAAGGUCCCAAAAUAUAUGUUAAGUGGAAAAGGAUGUGGCGUUGCCCAGACAACUAGGAUGUUGGCUUAGAAGCAGCCAUCAUUUAAAGAGUGCGUAAUAGCUCACUAGUCGAGUGACACUGCGCCGAAAAUGUACCGGGGCUAAACAUAUUACCGAAGCUGUGGAUUGUCCUUUGGACAAUGGUAGGAGAGCGUUCUAAGGGCGUCGAAGCAUGAUCGCAAGGACAUGUGGAGCGCUUAGAAGUGAGAAUGCCGGUGUGAGUAGCGAAAGACGGGUGAGAAUCCCGUCCACCGAUUGACUAAGGUUUCCAGAGGAAGGCUCGUCCGCUCUGGGUUAGUCGGGUCCUAAGCUGAGGCCGACAGGCGUAGGCGAUGGAUAACAGGUUGAUAUUCCUGUACCACCUAGUAUCGUUUUAAUCGAUGGGGGGACGCAGUAGGAUAGGCGAAGCGUGCUGUUGGAGUGCACGUCCAAGCAGUAAGGCUGAGUGUUAGGCAAAUCCGGCACUCAUAAGGCUGAGCUGUGAUGGGGAGAGGAAAUUGUUUCCUCGAGUCGUUGAUUUCACACUGCCGAGAAAAGCCUCUAGAUAGAUAACAGGUGCCCGUACCGCAAACCGACACAGGUAGUCAAGAUGAGAAUUCUAAGGUGAGCGAGCGAACUCUCGUUAAGGAACUCGGCAAAAUGACCCCGUAACUUCGGGAGAAGGGGUGCUCUUUAGGGUUCACGCCCAGAAGAGCCGCAGUGAAUAGGCCCAAGCGACUGUUUAUCAAAAACACAGGUCUCUGCUAAACCGUAAGGUGAUGUAUAGGGGCUGACGCCUGCCCGGUGCUGGAAGGUUAAGAGGAGUGGUUAGCUUCUGCGAAGCUACGAAUCGAAGCCCCAGUAAAC